AAGUCGUAACAAGGUUUCCGUAGGUGAACCUGCGGAAGGAUCAUUACACACUGUGCCAUGUCUACAGAUGUUCGCACCUGUAGGUAUAGCCAGCUAACCCUUGUCUAUUUCUACCAUUUGUGAAUCCCUCGGCAGGGACGCCUGCCGCCGGGACCCCUAAACUCUUCUGCAUAAAAAGCAUCAAAAAUUUCUGAACCUAAUUAAAAUUAUUACAACUUUCAACAAUGGAUCUCUUGGUUCUG
rnacentral:misc_RNA from 1 species